rnacentral:rRNA from 1 species
GUAAAGCACUUUCAGUAGGGAGGAAGGUAGUGUAGUUAACACCUGCAUUAUUUGACGUUACCUACAGAAGAAGCACCGGCUAACUCCGUGCCAGCAGCCGCGGUAAUACGGAGGGUGCGAGCGUUAAUCGGAAUUACUGGGCGUAAAGCGCAUGCAGGCGGCCUGUUAAGUCAGAUGUGAAAGACCCGGGGCGUUAACCUCGGAAUUGCAUUUGAAACUGGCAGGCUAGAGUCUUGUAGAGGGGGGUAGGAAGUUUCAGGUGUAGCGGUGAAAUGCGUAGAGAUCUGAAGGAAUAUCAGUGGCGAAGGCGGCCCCCUGGACAAAGACUGACGCUCAGAUGCGAAAGCGUGGGGAGCAAACAGGAUUAGAUACCCUGGUAG